UGGAGAUUUCUCAAUAUAAUAAUUCUGCUGCUCUCCACAGCUAGAAACUCACUCUGAGGAUGAGGAAAAAGUGAACAAUUUGCGGUCAGCUGUGUCUUGUCGUCCCUGCAUUGUUUUUUAUUCAACUUGAUAAGCCGGCUCGGACGAUAAGAUAAGAGCUACUUUUAAACUGUGAUCUGAAGAAAUAACAUCGGUGUUCAGAGUGUCUAGUCUAUGACGUUUCGAGAUUUGAGGUCGGAUUUUAACACGGGAAAGUCUUUUUAAUUUGCUUAAUGAGGUCUAGAAUGGGAACGUCUGGGGAAAAUGGGUAUAAAAAUAAACCAGUGGAUGAUAACUUGCUAUAUUUCCCAGUCCCAGAUGUUACCAAAGCCGAUGUCGACCGAGAAGGCCGAAUCCAUGUGAGGAUUAACGAGAAGGAUAUUACAAUAAUCUCCCAUAAUAAUAUGCUCUACGCAGUCCUCCAAACUUGUCCCCAUCGAGGUGGGCCGUUAAUGGAUGGAGAGAUUGAGGAGGUCCCUGGUCCCGGCCUUUGUAUUCGCUGUCCAUGGCAUGGAUGGAAAUUUGAUCUUAGACGUGGACGUUGUAUUUCACCUAAUCGUCCUGACGUUGUAGCAAAAAUAUUUCCUGUGAAAGUGGAAUGUCCAGGGCAUAAGAUUUCAGUAGGAUUUACUGAAAUAGCUCCAGAAACAUUUACCCAACUACCGACACUAUAGACUGAUGAAUCAAGAUAAAAGCCAAAGAGAUUUUUCGUUGUCAUUUUUGGGGGUUCAGAGGAUUUUAAUCAACUUUUAUUAUAUUGCUUUAUUUAAGAUCACGCUAUAAACUACAGCAUUCCAAUUCAAAGAAAUCAAAGUGAGACUACUCCUUUAGGGUGAUUAUUUCAUAUUUAAUUAAUCAUUACAUACAAGACCAAUCCACCACCAUAAUAUUGUAGUUUUCCUACCGAGAUUGCAACGUGUAGGCUGCGUCAGUGUUCAGAUAGAUCUAAUUAUAUAUGUAAUAAGUUUAAUUCACUAUUUCCGAAUGCAUCGAAACAAUCCAAGUAUUAAGUGUAUGCCAAAAAUUAAAUCAACUAGUUCAGUUAGUCACUUAAUUACAAUCUUAAUUUCACGUGUGCUAUAGAAAAGAAGAGGCUUUAUUAUUUUUUACGGCAGCUAAACUAAAAAACAAUGUUUUCACUCUAAAAUUGUUUAGGUCUCAUUAAUGCAAGCGUAUUUUAAAAUCAAUGCAAUAUAUUCAUGUAAAAGUUCCGAAUUUGUGAGGACUUUCCUGUAUAUCAAUAUUUUUUCCAGGUGAGUAUCCUUCACAGAAUUUACCAAGCAUAAUCACAUACAUAAUAUGAACUGACUCAGGACUCGUGAUAAGGAAGACGAGGGUGAAAUGUUGUUGGAUAGUUAUUAAAUACUCACAGUCUCAGAAUUAAGGAGUUUUGCAAUAUAUAUGAUUCUAUUCACUAGUGCGCUUAUAUAAUUAAUAAUUUAUUUAGUUACACCUCAAAUGUUAUUGACUUACUCAAUUAUGCAUGCCUAAACUGAGAUUUCAUAGUUAAAUUUAUAUUAAAUUCACAUUUAUCAUUAUCAUAAUUCUAUUUAUGACGUGUUUGUAUGUGUAUGUAUAGUCAGGCAAAGGGAGGGUUUCAAUAUUUUGUGUGCAAUUAAUAAUUUGUAUCAUGAAAGUUAUUCGUGUGAAGAAGAACUGGUUAGUUUGUACACUAGUUUUAGAGUAGCAAGUAGUACUUACUAAGUACAUGCACAAAAUAUAUUGAAUGCGAACUUUUACGAACUUAACAAACGAAAUGCAAUGUUCCUUGAAAUGUAUACUUUGAUGAUUUUAAGUAACAAAUACAGUUAAGUUUUUGAGAGACUA